rnacentral:lncRNA from 1 species
AAAUCUACAUGAAGCCAUGGGGAAGGGUGGACAUUAAGAGAUUUGGAGUAAAAUAUUGUCUGAGUCAAGAGAGGCUGUGCUGGUCCUGGACCAGCACCUGGAUAGUGGAGUGAGCUCAACCUGUAGACUACCUGGCAUCUGAGGUAAAGUCUGACUCCGUGUGUGUUACUACAGUUCUGUGGAAACCAAGGGCCUUCUUGGGCCUAAGCAGCUCAAUGGCUCCUUAGUUGCUUCUAUUCCUCACCUUCCUGCACCUAUAUAAAUUUUCCUUUCUUGUCAAAUCACAGGGGUGCCAUCUCUGCAGGUCUGUGGGGGCCAAGGCCCCCCAGCAUUUUCAAUGAAGGGACUGGACCCCCCCAAAAAAAUUCUGUGGUGGCAUGUGCGCAUCACAUGGGGCAUAGGGAUGUCAUAUGGCCCUGGGCCCCCGCAAUCAUGGGGCAAGGCGGUGGAAGUCACCCUGAGGGUCAUCUAGUCCAACCCCCUGAAACACAUGGUCCCUCAUCCAAUUUGAAACCAUACUAGAUCCUACUUAGCUUUGCAAAUAUGCUAGCAGUUUUACCGCUGCACCACUAUAUGUUCCACUAUACAAUCAAUCAAUCAACCAAACAACCACUCAGUCCCCUUAACAGAGAAAACCAGUGUGUCACAUGCAGGGUACAUUGUUCCGCAGAGAAGAAUUCCAUCAUGUUAGCCUCCUCCACCUGCAGUUUUUAAUGGUACAGUCCAGAAAUAGCUUUUAUUACCUCAGUGAAAACUAGGCUUCUGUUCAACGAAGACACACACAUUUCAUUGCUCAUGGCUCUUCCAUCUUUUUCUGCUAUAUGCUUCCUCUGAGUUUGGUCCCACUUGUACCCACUUCUGUUAGCUAACCCACCCUGCCUUUCCCAGUUGCCUUGCUAACCAGUUUGGCCCCCGCCUUUGGGUGAUUUGAUGCUUCUGCCGAACCCGAUGCAAAGGGGGCACAGGGCUCUUCCACCAGGUGACAGUUGGAGUGGGUGGCUUCCUGCAGCUCAUCUUUUCUCGUCUGGACCACUUCACUGCGAUACUCCUUGAAUGGAACAGGCACCUCUGGCACGGGACACCUUGUUUAUGUAACCGCUCUCUGACUGUGGCUUACCAGAAUUUGCUUAACGUGGGAUAUUCUGCAGCAAAACCUCAGUUUGCCUGCCUUCCACCUUAAGAGAAUUCCCUGCUGCCAGCUCCAUUUGUAUCUAAGAAUCCAUUACUGUAGGGUCUCCAUGGCUUUACUCAGCUUGGCACCCAUUCAAACACCUGCUUCCUACCUGUCCUUUUUAGGAAACAUCAUUGCUGCCGCUGCCAGUGAAAGUUUGGGAGCCGGGGAAGAGAAGAGAAGAGAAGAGAAGAGAAGAGAAGAGAAGAGAAGAGAAGAGAAGAGAAGAGAAGAGAUGACUGAGCAGCAGCAGGAAGUGAAGCAGAGCUUAGGCAGGAGCCAAGAGCAGGCAUCUCCCCAGCAGUCUAGCUAUCCUGGAAGAGCCAUGCCCUUUCAGAUGCCAGCAUGGAGUCUUCUGCCACCCUGCUGGGCAGCUGGAAACCCAUAAUCAUUGCUAAUUGGCCUCUGCACAGGUACCUUAGAUUCAGUCUUGCCUUCCUAUUUAUGGAGCGGGGUGGGGGGUGGGGAGGCCGUAGGAUAGGCAGGCUCAGCUGAAAAGCUUGGGGUACAGAGUGGGAACUCCCAGAGAGGCUAAGCAACUGGAACAGAGCAAACAUGGCAAGCUCCCUUCCCCAAUGCAACUUCUUGUUUUGCUUUUUUUAACAGCCCAGAGACAGGGAGGCCUUCCAUUUCUGUGAUAUGUGUACUUAUUUUAGAUCUAACUUAACAGAAGUCGGCCCCUUGGGGGGGGGGGGAGCGAUGGAGCAGGGAAAUGGCAACACCAAGCAGAGAGGGCAAUCUGUCUCCAGGGGGUAGAACACCCUUUGCCUUGCUCAGAUCAUGCUUAUUCAAAAGCUUGCUGUUUCUUUUCCCAACAGCUGUUGAGAGGAAAAAGGUGUAUCCCCUGCCAUAAAACCCUGCUCAGGCGUCUCUGAAUCUCUUGCAGUUCUUGGUCAUAAUUGCAGGAUUAAGUUUGGCAUUCCAAAUAGUCACAUUCAACAGUCAUGUGCUCCUCCCCAGAAACAGGUGCAUCUUGGCACUGGCUGAGGGCAUCCUGUAACAUCAGUUGCCCCCACACCAGGGUGGAGUGGGGCUGAUCUUUGCCACCGGAGGCAGAAAUAUGGUCCUUACCAUGGAAACAGCUGUUGGGAAGUUGGUGCUGUGUAUGCUUCUGGUUGCUGUGGCAACACUUCCUGGCAGUGGCCCUGCACGCUGUCACUCCCCCUCCUCCGAACUGUCAUCUCCCAACACCCCCUCCCCUCCACCCUGAAUAUAUCCUAGCAACCUGCCGCUACAUUAGCCUUGCGGUUGGCAUGCCAAAGAGCUCACUUAGCAACACCAGCCGCGCUUCUGACUGAGGGUGCAAUCCAGGGAGUCCUGGCUCCCAGCUCUCAAUCCCCCCCAACUAUGACAAGAUGGGCCCCUGACUUUGGAGUAAUGACAUAUUUUUUUAAUGGGGGGGGCCGCGGGAGGACAGAUCCCUAUUUGGAGUUGUGUAGCUGGUGGCAAGACCCCACUCCUCUCCUAAACAACCAAGAGCUUCUUGUCUCCCCAGUCAGUCGCAGCCACCAAUUCUGCCACGGAGACAGUGGCAUGUGAAGGCGGCUCCUUGGGGCUCUGCAUUGCUGACAGCAGGUGGGGGAGGGGGGGACAGUGAUAGCAAGGUGCUGGAAACAGCUCCCUCCCCUCCCCCAGCAAGCAUCACAGGAAUGGUAUGUCCUUGGGAGAAACAUCAGCACUUCCCCACCACCACCUCUCACACACUAAUACAGUGGUACCUCAGGUUACAUACGCUUCAGGUUACAGACUCCGCUAACCCAGAAAUAGUGCUUCAGGUUAAGAACUUUGCUUCAGAUUGAGAACAGAAAUCGUGCUCUGGCAGCGCGGCAGCAGCAGGAGGCCCCAUUAGCUAAAGUGGUGCUUCAGGUUAAGAAUAGUUUCAGGUUAAGUACGGACCUCCGGAACGAAUUAAGUACUUAACCUGAGGUCCCACUAUAUAUACAAAAUAUGGGGUGCUGGAGAGAGCAAGGAGCUGAGGGCAUGCCAAGGAGGAGGAAGGCACAAAGAAGAAUGAAGGGGAGAAUGGGGUGAGGGCUGCAUUUUGCUCUCCUCCAUCAGGAGCAACACCCGGAGUGUCGGCUCUGCAUGUCAGAACACUGGUCCUGCCCCCAAAGCAUGCCACUGAUACAGUCCCACAAUAGUUCAUUCACGGCUCGGAAGGGCUGCAGUUCAGGGGCAGGACAUCUGCUCUGCAUGCAGAAGGCUCAAGCCCAGCAUCUCCAGGCAGGGCUGGGAAUGUCCCCUGCCUGAAACCCUGGGGCCCUGCUGCCAGUUAGUGUGGACAGUACUAAGAUAGAUGGCGGUCUCUGUGACCCAAUGCCCCACUUCUCCUUGCUCAUCUUCCGGAGGGAUGGGAAAGCAGUCAGUAUGGGCAGAUGAGGGUAUCCAGUAAGGCCUAAGGCCUUACCACUAGGCUGGAGCCGUUUAUUGGCCUUGCUGGAUUUUGCCACCAUCCGUGCACCAUUGGGAAGCUCCAACUCUGGUCCCAGCUAUCCAGAGACACUGCCUCCGACCCCUGCAGGGAUGUGGUCUGCCAAACUCCUGCUAAACUUUGGCAAAGCUCCCAGCAAGGACAGGCUUUUAGCUAAUGAAGCCGGCCUGGGCGUGUUGGCAGCCCAUUAAACUGCUGUUCAAACAUGUUCUGCUGGCACUCAGUGGGUGCUGGUGCAGCAACAGCCAAGACAAACUGAUUCCUUUCUCCUCCUGCCUCUGUGUACUGGGCUCGAUCCUUUGAGCACUGACACCAAGAAUCACCCCAGAGCUUCCUGCUCUGCAGUAAAGUCACAUUGCACAGCAGUGCUCUCAUCGAACACCAUCACAGCACAAAAUGCUUUCCCACAAAUUCAUCGGAAAGAGCAUCAGGCCAAACAAGUCAUAUCACACCGUUCCAGAGUAGUCACCAUAUUACCCUACUGCUGCCAUGAUACAACAGCCCUAUAGAAAAGCUUGUCUGCCAUCAAACUUCCACUGUGCUAUUGGAGAGAUCAGAAGGGUUGUUCCUGCUUAGCAGUGAUGCCCAGUCAUAAUCAAAAGCAGGUCUGUUAUGAGCCAAAGGUGAGGCAGCAGACUAUGUGUCCCACCAAGGGGGGCGGUGUGGGAAACAUAACCCACAAGGCACACUCCACCCAUAAGGGGAGUUCAUCAGCAUAAACUCUUUUGUGCCAGAGCUGUGGAUUGUGAGCAGGAGCUGUGCGGAGGCAUUGCAGUGCUCUGUGGUUUCUCAACGCAGAAUUUUGGGCUCUGAGGUGGCUGUUGCUCCUUUAGAGUAACAUUUCAAUUUGUGGAAUUGCUCCCAUAAAAUACCUAGCAAAACAGACCAACUACAGAAAUCAUAGAAUCAUAGAAUGUUUUUCAUUUCUUUAAUGAGGUACGAUCUGCAUAAGAUUUACCUUUUUAGAAAGCAGCUUGCCAAACAAUGGCACAUUAUGGGAUGUGGCAUGGACAGCACAGCAUUCUCACACAAUUUUCUGCAGCAGAUAAGCAUGAAAAAUCUGCCUUUUCUUUAGCACACCCUAUGAAAAUAUGGUCCUGCCACAUUGCAGUUUUCCCACAAUGCUCUGCCACAUCACCUGAACUUUUCUUCCCGUGAGAUGUAGCAAUGUGUCAAUCCAUUCAUGCUCACCUGCUGUCGCAUUGGGACAUGGGCUGACUGCAGCAUUGCAAUAAAGCAACCAAAGGUGGAAACAGCUCAGUGGACCAAUGCAGCACGAGGGGAGCAAUUUGUAAUCCUGCUGUCAAUAAAACAUUACAGAGCAAGAUGUGAAGGGAAACCUCCCCUGCCAUAACUGCAGUCCCAACACUUUUUGCCACAUUCCCUACAAACAAAGGAGACAGAGAUGGAAAAGAGGGUUAGAUGGUAUUUUAAUGGCAUGUCUGAAUCUUAUGCUUGGGAUUCCCUAUGUCUUUUUCUUUACAGAAAGUAGCCAUAAGGGAUCCAAAUUAGAAGAAUGGCAUCCACCCUUUUCCCUGAUGAAAAUCACUAGAGACAGACUGACAAUGUUUGGUUGCCGCUGGUCAUGUGACAAACAGAAGAGAGUGCACAGUGGCAACCCAUUCACCAAGUUGCAUGACGGGCACAGAAGUGACUAGUGGAAGGUGGCUUAAGUGGGGGACAGACAAAGCACU